GAAAUGCGAUAAGUAAUGUGAAUUGCAGAAUUCAGUGAAUCAUCGAAUCUUUGAACGCACCUUGCGCUCCUUGGUAUUCCUUGGAGCAUGCCUGUUUGAGUAUCAUGAAAUCUUCAAAGUAAAUCUUUUGUUAACUCAAUUGGUUUCUACUUUGGUAUUGGAGGUCUUUGCAGCUUCACACCUGCUCCUCUUUGUUCAUUAGCUGGAUCUCAGUGUUAUGCUUGGUUCCACUCGGCGUGAUAAGUUAUCUAUCGCUGAGGACACUGUAAAAGGUGGCCAAGGUAAAUGCAGAUGAACCGCUUCUAAUAGUCCAUUGACUUGGACAAUACUUUUAUGAUCUGAUCUCAAAUCAGGUCGGACUACCCGCUGAACCUACGA
rnacentral:misc_RNA from 1 species